rnacentral:rRNA from 1 species
GACGAACGCUGGCGGCGUGCCUAACACAUGCAAGUCGAACGGCAACACCCUACGAGCUUGCUCUUACGGGUGGCGAGUGGCGGACGGGUGAGGAAUACACCGGAACCUACUUUUUCGUGGGGGAUAACGUCGGGAAACUUUCGCUCAUACCGCAUACGACCUACGGGUGUGUGCAGAGGAUCUUCGGCCCUUGCGGGUUUGAUUGCGCCGGAGUCGGAUUAGCUUGUUGUCGGGGUCAAGGCCCACCAAGGCGACGAUCCGUAGCUGGUCUGAGAGGGUGAUCAGCCACAGUGGAACUAAGACGAGGUUGAGACUCCGACGGGAGGCAGCAGUGGGGAAGAUGGGACAAUGGGCGGAAGACUGAUCGAGGCAUAACGCGGGGGUGAAGAAGGCGUGAGGGUGGUAAAGGCCUUUUGUUGGGAAAGAAAAGCAGAAGAUGAAGACGCCGCUGUGGUGACGGUAGCCAAAGAAGAAGCACCGGCUAACUACGUG